UACGAAGGGGGCUAGCGUUGCUCGGAAUUACUGGGCGUAAAGGGCGCGUAGGCGGGUCGUUAAGUAGGGGGUGAAAGCCCAGGGCUCAACCCUGGAAUUGCCUUCUAAACUGGCGGCCUUGAGUAUGGCAGAGGUGUGUGGAACUCCGAGUGUAGAGGUGAAAUUCGUAGAUAUUCGGAAGAACACCAGUGGCGAAGGCGACACACUGGGCCAUUACUGACGCUGAGGCGCGAAAGCGUGGGUAGCAAACAGG
rnacentral:rRNA from 1 species